CAAGUGAAUUCAUAGCUUGUCAGAAGGCAGACCCGGAGAACUGAAACAUCUUAGUACCCGGAGGAAGAGAAAGAAAAAUCGAUUCCCUGAGUAGCGGCGAGCGAAACGGGAAGAGCCCAAACCAAUAAGCUUGCUUAUUGGGGUUGUAGGACACUCUAUACGGAGUUACAAAGGAAUAUAUUAGACGAAUCAUCUGGAAAGUUGAAUCAAAGAAGGUAAUAAUCCUGUAGUUGAAAAUAUAUUCUCUCUUGAGUGGAUCCUGAGUACGACGGAGCACGUGAAAUUCCGUCGGAAUCUGGGAGGACCAUCUCCUAAGGCUAAAUACUCUCUAGUGACCGAUAGUGAACCAGUACCGUGAGGGAAAGGUGAAAAGUACCCCGGAAGGGGAGUGAAAGAGAACUUGAAACCGUGUGCUUACAAGUAGUCAGAGCCCGUUAAUGGGUGAUGGCGUGCCUUUUGUAGAAUGAACCGGCGAGUUACGAUCUGAUGCAAGGUUAAGCAGGAGAUGUGGAGCCGUAGCGAAAGCGAGUCUGAAUAGGGCGUUGAGUAUUUGGUCGUAGACCCGAAACCAGGUGAUCUACCCAUGGUCAGGUUGAAGUUCAGGUAACACUGAAUGGAGGACCGAACCGACUUACGUUGAAAAGUGAGCGGAUGAACUGUGGGUAGCGGAGAAAUUCCAAUCGAACUUGGAGAUAGCUGGUUCUCUCCGAAAUAGCUUUAGGGCUAGCCUCAAGUGAUGAUUAUUGGAGGUAGAGCACUGUUUGGACGAGGGGCCCCUCUCGGGUUACCGAAUUCAGACAAACUCCGAAUGCCAAUUAAUUUAACUUGGGAGUCAGAACAUGGGUGAUAAGGUCCGUGUUCGAAAGGGAAACAGCCCAGACCACCAGCUAAGGUCCCAAAAUAUAUGUUAAGUGGAAAAGGAUGUGGCGUUGCCCAGACAACUAGGAUGUUGGCUUAGAAGCAGCCAUCAUUUAAAGAGUGCGUAAUAGCUCACUAGUCGAGUGACACUGCGCCGAAAAUGUACCGGGGCUAAACAUAUUACCGAAGCUGUGGAUUGUCCGUAGGACAAUGGUAGGAGAGCGUUCUAAGGGCGUUGAAGCAUGAUCGCAAGGACAUGUGGAGCGCUUAGAAGUGAGAAUGCCGGUGUGAGUAGCGAAAGACGGGUGAGAAUCCCGUCCACCGAUUGACUAAGGUUUCCAGAGGAAGGCUCGUCCGCUCUGGGUUAGUCGGGUCCUAAGCUGAGGCCGACAGGCGUAGGCGAUGGAUAACAGGUUGAUAUUCCUGUACCACCUAGCAUCGUUUUAAUCGAUGGGGGGACGCAGUAGGAUAGGCGAAGCGUACGAUUGGAUUGUACGUCUAAGCAGUGAGAUUGAGUGUUAGGCAAAUCCGGCACUCUUAAGAUUGAGCUGUGAUGGGGAGAGGAAAUUGUUUCCUCGAGUCGUUGAUUUCACACUGCCGAGAAAAGCCUCUAGAUAGAUAAUAGGUGCCCGUACCGCAAACCGACACAGGUAGUCAAGAUGAGAAUUCUAAGGUGAGCGAGCGAACUCUCGUUAAGGAACUCGGCAAAAUGACCCCGUAACUUCGGGAGAAGGGGUGCUCUUUAGGGUGCAAGCCCAGAAGAGCCGCAGUGAAUAGGCCCAAGCGACUGUUUAUCAAAAACACAGGUCUCUGCUAAACCGUAAGGUGAUGUAUAGGGGCUGACGCCUGCCCGGUGCUGGAAGGUUAAGAGGAGUGGUUAGCUUCUGCGAAGCUACGAAU
rnacentral:rRNA from 1 species